GCCAGUAAUGGAAAACUUGUUACUUUUUGAUGAAUUAGCUCCAGAUCUUGCCAGAAGGACAGUUGUUUUCACUGUCCACAAAAUCUGUGCAAAGCAGUCAGGAGAACUGCAAGCUGUCAGAAUAAGCCCUCUCAAAAUGAACUGCUUCAUGGCAUGCUAGAUUUUCUGCAAAGCCGGAAACAUGUCUGUUGCUUUCGAUGUGUUGGAUUUGUUACACAUCUUCCUCAGAAAGUUCCUGACCUUAAACACAUGGAAAAAGAUGGAAGUGUUUUUGCUGGCUUCAGUGGACCUUGGUUGAGCCAAAAGUCUUAAAUGCAGAAUACUUCAGUGGAAAUGAGAUAUUAUGUUUGCAGCUGAACUUCUGUCAGCCCAAAGACCCAUGCCUCAAAAGAUUUAUUCAGGGACUUCCUUGUUUACUAGUACUACUAGUUCACCAGUUCUUCCCAUUUUUUCCCUUUAAAUGAAUGUGUUCCAAAAGCAACCCCUGCCACCUAAUAUUGGGAUUGCUUUCAGCUUGAAUGAAAAUAUUUUGGUCUCAGAUUCACAUACCUUAGUUAAAAAGCAAAUCAUUUCAUCUUAUUAAUGCCACCAGUCCGACAGAUAUUUCACAUGAAGACUUCUGAAGAAUCUAGUUCUCCAGCAGUUGUACAGUUUGAGCAAGUAUCUGGAUACUUCCUUAGAUGACAUGGGUUUGUGCAUCAGCAGUAGCAAAGGAAACAGCAGGUAUCUGGGGACCUGUACCUUAUUUCUGUUUACAGUCAUAAGGGUAGAAAUGGAAAAAUUUUAGAAAUGGAAAAAUUUGUGCAUCUUAUGUCUUUUUUAUUUUUCCCCCAAAAAUCUGUCCUCAUAUAUUUUGUUGUAGAGCUGUGCUGUGCUUGGAGAUUAAAAACAGAGCUUCAUUGCA